UACGGGGGGGGCAAGCGUUGUUCGGAAUUACUGGGCGUAAAGGGCUCGUAGGCGGCCCUUUCAGUCGGAUGUGAAAUCCCCAGGCUUAACCUGGGAAGGGCAUCCGAUACUGGAGGGCUUGAAUUCGGGAGAGGGAUGCAGAAUUCCAGGUGUAGCGGUGAAAUGCGUAGAUAUCUGGAGGAAUACCGGUGGCGAAGGCGGCAUCCUGGACCGAGAUUGACGCUGAGGAGCGAAAGCUAGGGGAGCAAACGGG
rnacentral:rRNA from 1 species